UACGUAGGGGGCUAGCGUUGUCCGGAAUCAUUGGGCGUAAAGAGCGUGUAGGCGGCCCGAUAAGUCCGCUGUGAAAGUCCAGGGCUCAACCCUGGGAUGCCGGUGGAUACUGUCGGGCUCGAGUCCGGAAGAGGAGUGUGGAAUUCCGUGGUGUAGCGGUGAAAUGCGCAGAUAUCGGGAAGAACACCCGUGGCGAAGGCGGCUCUCUGGGACGGUACUGGACGCUGAGACGCGAAAGCGUGGGGAGCGAACAGG
rnacentral:rRNA from 1 species